rnacentral:rRNA from 1 species
AACGAACGCUGGCGGCAUGCCUAACACAUGCAAGUCGAACGAAACCUUCAGGUCUCUUGGCGCGCGGAUGCGUAACGCGUUGUAACCUGCCCUUAGGUUCGGAAUAACUCCCCGAAAGGGGUGCUAAUACCGGAUAAUGUCUUCCGACCAAAGAUUUAUCGCCUUUGGAUGGGCCCGCGUUGGAUUAGCUAGUUGGUAGUGUAAAAGCCUACCACGGCGACGAUCCAUAGCUGGUCUGAGAGCAUGAUCAGCCAAAAUGGGACUGAGACACGGCCCAGACUCUGAGGAGAGGAAGCAGUGGCGAACAUUGGCAAACGGGCGAUAGAUUGAUACAGCAGUGCAGGGUGAGUGAUGAAGGCCUUAGGGUUCUAAAGAUAUUUUAACUGUGAUGACAAUGACCGUACAGGGAGAAUGGGCCAGGGCUAAAUACGUG